rnacentral:tRNA from 1 species
GCAAGGCUGGCGCCAGAGGUCGUAGGAUUCAUCCCUCCCACGGAUGAGGUCGGGGUUCGAUUCCCCGGCGGCGCACGCCUUAUG